AUGGCUUGGAAUUUGGAAGACAAUGGCAGUGACCCAGGGCUUAUACUUGUUUUAGUAUUUGAUGAUUUCAAGUUGUUGUUUAGGGAAUUAGAAUUUAUUUGUUGAUUUCAAGUUGUUUUUAGGGAAUUAGGAUUUAAACAUAUAGUAUAUCUAUAGAAAACAUAUAACUUUUAAAAAAGAAUUAACUACGCCAAUUAUAAAACUUUUAGUUUAUAAUUGUUUGUCUCAAGCCGGGUAAAGGAGAGUUUUGUUACUAAGGGCAUGUUUGGCUAAGCUUACUUUACCUAAAAAGGACUUUUUGUGAAAAUGACUUAUUAACUUAUAACUUUUUGAAAAUGAGUUUUUAAAAUAGUGUUUGGAUUAGCUUAUGGGGUGGGAAAAGCCAAUAAGUCAAUAAGUUGUUUUUUAAAAAGUGUUUGGUUUAGCUUAUUGAUGUAAAAUUACUAAAAGAGACAUUCUUUCAUAAGUCAGUAAGUUGUUUUUUUAUAACGAGUGUUAAAUCAGGGGUAAUCUGGUAAUUUGGUCUUUGAAAAGUUAUAAGCUGAUAAAAAAGUCACAAGCCCCUAACUUCUCAAAAAUGACUUUUUGAUGACUUUUUCUCCUUUUCAAAAAGUCAUUUAGAAAUUUAGAAAAGCACUUUUAGAUUUGUCAAACACUAAAACUUCUUUUUAGCUUUUUGAUCAAAUCAAUAAGUCAUAAGUUGGGUUGGAAAAUCUUAUCCAAACAUGACCUAAUAUGUUGAAAAUGAUAAUUUUGCAAAAGGCCUCCAGUUCAUAGUUCGCUUAGGUCUCCAAAAACGUAGGAACGACCGUGUUUUAUUCAAAGAUCCACCUUCAUAACCAUGAAUACUGGCCAACAAUGGGACUUUUGGCAAAGGGAAACAGAAUUACAAACAAAUAUUCAUAUGUAUAUGUAUAGAGAAUCAAGCAACAACCAUAAAAAUGAUAGUUUUGGCGGUAGCAUAAGACAAACGCUAAAGGAAAGCUAAGGGUAACGCAGCAAAAGCGGUAAACAUACCAACAAGUAGAUCUGGACGAGGGAGAUUCAAUGCUACUGGUGGUGGUGGUGGUUGCUCGCCGGAAGCAAUCCGAAUAAGAAUCUGCUGUUGACUGAUGGAAUUCAGGUCACCGGUUGAACCACUUGUACUAGGGUGAUGAUUCAUCUCUCCGUCCGUCGUCUUCAACUAUAGUGGUUCAAGAGUCUCGUGUUGAUUGAGAUUAAUAUGGCUGGAGUCCACAAUCCCACUUCCACUUGCAAAACAUCUAUUUUGUCUCUUUCACGUGUUUUUUCUUCCUACUCUAUCGUGUGGAACACCUUUGUUCAAUUAACCUAUCUACUAAAAAGCAUUAAUUAACCUAUCUAUUAAAAAACAAUGCUUGUGAAUAGUGUUUUUUUACACUUGUCACUUCAUCAUUAGCUCUGUUAGUUCGAUACUGGUAUUAACCUAUAUUUAUUAAAAAACAAAGCUUGUGAAUAGUGUUUUUUACAUUUGUCAGUUAAUCAUUAGCUGUUUUUCCGAUACUGGUAUUGUAUUUAUUGGUUUGAAUUUGAUAGUUUGAUGUUUGGAGCUUUGGUUUAGUAGUUUAUAGGCUAUUUAUCAUUGGCACUGGUUCGAAUCUCCUCCCAUUCGUUUUUCUCCCUUUUAUUUCCCUUUUUGCAGUCGUUCAACGGAGUCGUCGUCAUC
rnacentral:lncRNA from 1 species